AUGGUCUUCCCAGGGAAGCUGUGGCUGCCCCUGGAUCCCUGGCAGUGCCCAAGGCCAGGCUGGACGGGGCUUGGAGCAGCCUGGGACGGUGGGAGGUGUCCCUGCCCAUGGCAGGGGUGGCACUGGAUGGGCUUCAAGGUCCCUUCUGACCCAACCCAUUCCGUGAAUCCCCAGCUCUCUCUCUUGUCCAUCAUCUCCACUCUGGGCUGUACUGGGAGCCUGGAGGUGCCCAGAUCCCUCUGCAACAACCAGUCCUGGUACUGCGGCCAAUGGCUCCUCCUUUCCCAAGGUCCCGCUAAUGAAAGGAGCAGGACUGAGGCCCAGGGAGCGUUUCCAGCUUGGUGUUUCCCAAUCCCCACCGGAGCAAAUGACUUCAUUCCCCUCAACAGCGCCCAGAGCCAGCUCCGAUCCCCACGGCUCUUGUGUCACUUUAAUGAGGCUUUUGUUUGCUCUGGGUGUCACUCCCAGGCUCUGGAGCACAAAGAAGGAGCUGCUGCUGCGGGUUCUGGGAGCCUCUGGCUCUUCCGGAGCUGCCGGGGGUUUAGGAGCCAGCUCCCUGUUUUGCAACAGGUUCUGUGCAUUAAAUACACUGGGAUCGGGGUUUUUUGGGAUAACAAAAGAGCCUGUGACAUCCCAGUGGCAGUUAGAGCGGGAUGUUGGCAUCUGGAGUCGAAGGAACGUCCUCUUGCCCCAGUUUGGGGAUUUGUGGUCAGAGCGAUCCCAGCCUGCAGCAGCUCCGCUCCCAAAAUCUGUGCAGCAGGAGGAGCUUUGGGGGUGGGAUAUCUCUGGGUGUGGUUUUUCCCCUGUGAGGAUUUGGGCUCACCCACAAGCUGGGAGCAGAGGGUGGUGGGAAUGGGAGAGGGGAUGGUGCCACUGCUGGAGGCAGCAGCUGUGUGGGGACAAACUGAGGGACAAUUUCCCCUGGGCUCAGGUGGCAGCUCCUCAGCUGGAGAACCAGGGCCUUGUGCCUGCAGCUUCCAGGGCCACACGCCCAAAUCACCAGCAAAAAAAGUCUGCUUUUCCAAUUUUUUCCUGGCCACUUGUGGGAAUUGGAUCCAUCUCCCACUUUUCCCCUUGUGCUACCAGAACCUUUCUGGUUGGGCAGAGCGGGUGUUUGGCCAUGGCCAAACCUCGCCACAGCAUCCCUGGCGUGCCUCGUCCUGCUUCCUAAGUCAUGGAAUCAUGGAAGUGUUGUGCUUGGAAAGCUCUCCAGAAUCAACCUUGGCCCCGAUGCCCACAAACUCCUGUCCCCAAGUGCCACAUCCACUCUCCCUCUGA
rnacentral:lncRNA from 13 species